UGCUGAUCACAUUUUUUAUUAUUUAUUUAUCACUGUGGCACACAUCAAAUUUACAAAUUAUCCAGCAAAAAAAAUGCAAAAAUUAAAAAAUUAUUUCUACAAACGUUGACAUUAUAUGGUAAAAAAAUGGCGAGACAUUUUAGGUACAAUAUACACCAAAUGAGAUACCAUGUGGUGUCUACUUUCACAAAUGAUAGGCCUUAAUGGGGAAAUUUAAACUGUCAAAUUGCUCAAGUGCCCCAAACUAAGACAUAGAUCCAUCAAAUUCAUCUUUGAAUAUUCACACCUAAAAAGCUGCAAUGGUGUGGUCUCUUAUAUGGCACUAUAACUUUGUAUGAUAAGUGUCUAUGGCAUACAUUGGGGGUAUCGUACUCAGAAAAUGUUGCAGAGCAUAAUUUGGGGGUUUUAUCACAGCGGCAUUAGAUUUGCAAAAUACCUAGCAAAAAUGCAACGUUCAUGUAAAACAAAAUGCAAAAAUGAUGUGUUUUUUUUUCUUCUUCUUCUUCUACAAACAGAUUAACUGGUGAAGAAAUAGCGGCAAUUUAAGGUACAAUAUACACAUCAUGGGAGAGAUCCUCUGUCAGUGUCUAUUUUCAUAAAUGCAAGGCCUUUGUGGGAUAAUUUAAACAACCCUUUCAUGGACGGGGAGGGAAAAGGAGGGGCGCACCACUGGGUCUAAAAGUGUUCCUUUAAACGUCUUACUAUUACCAACUCCUUAAAUCAUUAGAGAGGUUACUGCUUUUUGCUCUGGAGUCAGCACUAGGAACCCUUCAGUAAGGUUAUAUUAGGUCAGUAGCUACUGCUGGCCGGAGGACUACAUGCUGGACUAUACUAUAUUCUUGGUAAACAAACUGCAUUGCACUGUUUCCUGAUAAAGUAUAAAAUGCCUUACUGGUGCACACAAAUAUUUGAUGUAUUAUAUAUGUAUAUUAUAUAUAUACCUACACAUACAAAAUUGAGGUACUUUGACAGAGGAUCACGUUAAAACAUUAAAUGGCAAUUUUAGGAUACUAAGUCCAUCUGUGCCUUACUCCCAAACUAGAUGUUUUAUGCAGAUUUUAAAAAGACAAAGCUCCACACUGGCUUUUGUGCAUGUACAUACAGUUGUAAUCAAAAAUAUUCAGCCCUCAUUUUCAGUUGAAUUUGAGGAAAACACUUGAUGCAUUUGUUGUUUUGAGCGAUUUCAGUUGCUCAAAGUAUGUAAAUUUUGACAAUAAACCUGAUUUUCAAUGGGGGUUUGAUAAUUUUGAUUACACAAAGUUUAGAUUUUGUGUGUAUACGUGGAUGUGUGUAUUACAGGGCUCGACAAAUCCCAGGCACAAGGUCGCCUUGGUGCCUGGGACAUGUGAGCCCGGCGCCCUCCAAGGCGGGCGGGAAGUCAGCUGGGGAAUUGUGGAGGUGGGCGGCAAGCUGGGGGAUUAUCGAGGCGGGGGGGCAUGCUGGGGUGUCGUGGAGGUGGGUGGGUAGCUGCGCGAAUAGGUGGGCAGUGAGGGAGUUGUGAUGUUCCUGCUUUGCUCCCUCGCGCGUGCCUUAGUGAGGCCGGAAAAUUACAUCAUAUUGCAGCCUCAUUAAGCAAGGGAGCAGAGCAGGGACAUCACAGCUCCCUCGCCGCUUGGCAACAAAAGGCGCAGCCAGCCACACGGCUCCAUAAUCCCCCAGCAUGCUGCCAAUCUCCAUAAUCCCCCAGCCGGUCACCCACUGGACCCCACAUGUAUUAAAACAAGCAAUAAUGUGUGUGUCUGUCAGUCAUGAUAUGUGUGUGUGUUUAGGUGACCCAUUUCGUUCCAUUUACAAGGUAAUGGUGGUUUUACUCACCUUUUUUCCCCCACGCUGUGCUGGUCUCCCCUCAACUGGCCCUGCCUCUAUGGCUGAGAUUAUCCAAUAUUUUCCCAUAGGAUUGGCUGCAAAACGCUGCACCAAUCAGCAUCUCCUCACAGAGAUGCAUUGAAUCAAUGCAUCUCUAUUGAGAACAUUCAGUGCCUCCAUGCAGAGUGUGGAGAUGUUGAAUGUAGGUGCUGCACAUUGUGAGUGACUGUCACUAGAGGUGUCACUAGGAAGUAAUUUAAACACUACCUUUUUCAUUUAAAGACUGCAGAUUAAAGGGUCAGUUUUACAUCCACCCCUGCAAGAAGUCCAUUUAAUUUGAAGACUUCAGUUUAAAAGGUACAGACUGAAAAUCAGAAGCUAUUCUACCGGAUUUCCUUCAUCUUAGUUACUACAUUAUUAAUUUACUAUAACAAUGUUACCAUUUGAACUUGUAGUAUACUACUGUAUAAUUUUGUACUUGCAGCUACAUGUAAUUAUUAAAGGACCACUGUAUAGUAUAAUUAUUAAAGAACAUUCUGUAUAGUGUAUGCUCCAUGCCACACAUCAUGAGUGCACUUUCCACAAUGCCAACAAGCUGGUAUAGUGCUUGCCCCAUGCCACCCCAGUCUAAGUACAGUUUGCCCCAUUUCGCCCAGCCUUGGUAGAGUUUGCCCCAUGCGCCCCAUAAAUUCCCCAAAUCCAGGUAGCAGAGUCCAGCCAGGUUUAAUAUAGUCACAGUAGAAUAAAGGGUUAAGGAUUGGCAGUAUGAGCAUAUAUCACAAUUAGCCUCCUGUCUGCUAGACCAGCAGGCAUGGAUUAUAUGCCAAAACAGCCUGGCACAUACCUGGGCUUUAAAUGCUAUUUAUUCUUUAAUGUCUUGCUGUGUGGCUGUCUGCUCACUGUACAUCAUGGCUAAUUUUUAUUUGGUGUGCAUUGGAAGAGGGGUAGUCUUAUACAGCGAGUAUACCCCAAACUCUAUAUUUUAACUGGAAAAGUUGGGGGUCGUCUUAUUCGCCGGAAAAUACGGUAUAUAGUAUGCUAUUCCAGCUUUUGGGAACCAGAGCCAAUCACCUCCUUAUUACCUUCACAUGCCAUCAGUUGCUGCAGUUAUACCAUUAACUCUCUAUGCCAUCUCAUACAAAUUCCUCUGCUACCUUUUGUCUCACUUCCACAGUAUACCUUUAGAUUGUAAGCUCACGGGCAGGCCCCUCUACCUGUUGUAUUGGUCUGUUUUUAUUGUAUUGUCUUUUUCCCAAUUGUACAGUGUUGCGGAAUAUGUUAGGUGCUAUAUAAAUACCAGUAAUAAGUAAAUAAAUAAAAUAAAAUGGCAGUGUUUACAUUGAAAAGCCUGCAGGGCUUCAAGGCAAAUAUGCCAAGCCCUGGUGUAUUAUAUGGAAACGCUUUACUAAGUACAUAUUAUUGCAUUUACAGAAACACUUUUUCUCCCCUAUAAAACCAUAGUACUCUAGAUCAUCCUGUGAAUAUCUUCACCCAAUUUCUGAGAGUUCUAUGCCUUUUAGAACUACUAAUUAAAAUCAAGAAAUACAGGACAAUCUGCAUGCAUCCAGUUCAGAUUAAAGGGACACUAUAGUCACCUGAACAACGUUAGCUUAAUGAAGCAGUUUUGGUGUAUAGAACAUGCCCCUGCAGCCUCACUGCUCAAUCCUCUGCCAUUUAGGAGUUAAAUCCCUUUGUUUAUGAACCCUAGUCACA